AUACUAUCUGGCAGGGGAGAUACCAUGGUGAUAAACAUAGUUUUUGCAGGGUGAGGCUUAUCCACAGACUCCAGAUGUGCUCAACCCUGAUUUUCCCAAAUGCAGGAAACAGGAGUACAUAAUUGGUGGUAACAAGGAAUUGCAUUCAUACUCUCCCCUG
rnacentral:snRNA from 1 species